rnacentral:lncRNA from 1 species
AAAUCUUUUCCGAAAAGGCUCCAGUACCAGCGCACCGAACGUCAAAAUAUCUGGCAACCGCUGAGUAUGAAAAUCGAGGAGAGCAGCUUCGGCCAUGAGAAUCUCUCUAUACUUCCUUCAUUCGAAACCCAAACUCGAAAGUAGGGGGACCGGUGUUGGGUAUAAAGUACCCCUCGGCCAAAGCUUAUAAAAAUCGAUCCUUCAUUCGGCUCCCGACCUUAUGUGCGAUGCCUCCCCGAACUCCCUCGCCCGU